rnacentral:rRNA from 1 species
CCUACGGGUGGCAGCAGUGAGGAAUAUUGGUCAAUGGACGCAAGCCUGAACCAGCCAAGUAGCGUGAAGGAUGACUGCCCUCCGGGUUGUAAACUUCUUUUAUAAAGGAAUAAAGUGAGGCACGUGUGCCUCUUUGUGUGUGCUUUAUGAAUAAGGAUCGGCUAACUCUGUGCCCGCAGCCGCGGUAAUACGGAGGAUCCGAGCGUUAUCCGGAUUUAUUGGGUUUAAAGGGAGCGUAGAUGGGUUGUUAAGUCAGUUGUGAAAGUUUGCGGAUCAACCGUAAAAUUGCAAUUGAUACUGGCAGUCUUGAGUACAGUUGGGGUAGGCGGAAUUCGUGGUGUAGCGGUGAAAUGCUUAGAUAUCACGAAGAACUCCGAUUGCGAAGGCAGCUUACUAAACUGCCACUGACACUGAUGCUCGAAAGUGUGGGUAUCAAACAGGAUUAGAUACCCGGGUAGUC